GGAGGUAGUGACAAUAAAUCACAAUGCGGGACUCAUAGUCUUGCAAUUGGAUUGAGAACAACGUACAACUCUUAUCGAUAAGCCAUUGGAGGGCAAGUCUGGUGCCAGCAGCCGCGGUAAUUCCAGCUCCAAUAGCGUAUAUUAACGUUGUUGCAGUUAAAAAGCUCGUAGUUGAAGUGAGGGAGUGUGUAGUAGGACCGACUUGAUCGGAACUGCUGCAACCUCCCCCCUCCAAUCGGUGUAGUGGGGUAUUCAGUUAUUCUACUACUCCUUUGGUCGUUUACUGUGAGAAAAUUAGAGUGUUCAAAGCGGGCGUUUGUUUGAAUAGAUUAGCAUGGAAUAAUGAUUGAAGGCUUUCGUGUUCGAUUUGAUUGGUUUGUUCAUGGAAGCAAGGUUAAAAGGAACAGUUGGGGGUAUUCAUAUUCACUAGUUAGAGGUGAAAUUCUCGGAUUUAUGGAAGAUGAACAAGUGCGAAAGCA
rnacentral:rRNA from 1 species